UCUGAGGCGGCCAUCUUAGCACUGCCUCGUGCCUCCGGCGGGAGGUCCUGAGGUGCAGGCGCAGACCUCUCCCAAACACAAUGAGCAGGGGUAUUUCAAUAAAAAUCUGUGGAAACAAGCGCUAAGAACUAUCACAUGGAAACUGUGCAAUCCUACCUUAUCAUUCCAAUUACAUUCUCCUCAUCUACAAAAUUGAAAGUUCCUCUGCUCGCUUUAUACACUGGCUGAGAGCCUAGACUCUGUAGUUCUCAGAUUCUGCAAGAGGAGAGAUGGAAGCUGCUAGCCCUGGGACUGGGAUGUCCAUGGAACUCUGAUUUCUCUGUGUAACGGUAAAAAGAAGCACCUAGGCAGGUGUGUUAAAACAGCUUAUAUUUUCAUUUGAAUACAGAAUAGCUCUCCCCUAUCUCCCAUUCCCCACUCCAAAUUUCAGAAUCAUCCAGAGAAGGAAGAUACUUUUCAUAGAAGGGUAGUUAGUGAUAACAUGUAGCCAAACCAGUCUGGGGAAAGACUGCUUUGUGAAGAAAAAAUAGAUAAAAGUACAGCAGUCCUGCAGCCUGGAUUCAAGAGAGCCCUGCAUGUUGCUAAAGAAGAAGAAUGUCUGCACAAUCCUCUAGGAUAUUAUCCUUUGCUGGCAAAUAAAGGAAGACAGGAUACAAUAAAAUAAUUCCAAACAUGGCACAUCUGUCUUUUGAUGCAGGAGAAAGAAUGGCAUAGUUUGGGUUGUCUCCUCAUCGGUGAAAAGGCAAACAGCCUGCUACGGAAGAGGCUGAGAAUGAGUGUUCACAGGAGAAUUGAACCAAAACAAGAAGUCCUCAUUCAGCAUGAAACCAAGAUGUUGUGACUACAAGCAAAACACAACACUGUUGAGAUAUUUUGAUUCUGCGUGACAUUUGAUGUAGUAUUCAUGACAUUUGAGUUAAGAAACCAUGAUAAUACAAAAUUGACAUGUCACACAUUAAGUGAAUUGAAAAUUGGUUAACUGACAU